AUUGAACGCUGGCGGUAGGCCUAACACAUGCAAGUCGAGCGGCAGCACAGGAGUUGUUGCUCGCUUCGUGGCGAGUGGCGUACGUGUUGGCAAUACAUCUGCAUCUGCGCAGUCGUUGGGGUCAACGAAGGGGAACUUAUACUACUACCGCAUUGGGCCUGCGGGUGAGGGAGGUUGGGAGCAAAAGCUCUCGCGUGUGGAUAUGUCGGAUUAGCUAGUUGGCGGGGUAGAGGCCUACCAAGGCGACGAUCCGUAGCUGGUCUGAGAGGAUGAUCAGUCACACUGGAACUGAGACACGGUCCAGACUCCUACGGGAGGCAGCAGUGGGGAAUAUUGGACAAUGGGCGCAAGCCUGAUCCAGCCAUACCGCGUGGGUGAAGAAGGCCUUCGGGUUGUAAAGCACUUUUGUUGGGAAAGAAAUCUUUCAGGCUAAUACCCUGGGAUGAUGACGGUACCAAAAGAAUAAGCACCGGCUAACUUCGUG
rnacentral:rRNA from 1 species